rnacentral:sRNA from 1 species
ACCUUCUUAACAUUCUAUAUGUGUACUUCACACUACUCUUGUAAUUAUAUCUACAACCAUCUCUUACAAUUCUAAUCACUCAUAACUCUAUUUGAGUGGUCUGUUGUUACACACAUCUACAAUAAAACAUGCAACAUUAGUUAAAACACACAAUGUUAGUUAAAACAUGCAAGAUGAUCUCAAUAUAUGCAAGAUCUCUUGAAAACCAAUCUGAAUCCUCUACUGUCUUCAAUGAACACAAUGUGUGUUUGCAACAGUUGAAUGAUCAAAUUCAUGAAUGAGAGCAGCAAUUAGCUAUUCUGCAUGCACAACAGCAGCUCAACAAGUUGAAAGUGCAGAUUCAUAGAGAUACUCUCAUUGAGUCUCAAUUAACUCAGAAUAUUGCCACAGAACUGCUGCAAAAUUGAUCUGUGAAUGAUACAGAUGAUGAUAAUGAAACACCACUGAGAUUAGAGAUUAAAAACUAUUAUUGAGAAAAAAAUAUGUUAGAAUUCAAGAACUAUAAAGAUUGCAUAUUGACUCUCUUUACAUAUCACUACUGAUAUUAUUGAAAGAAAGAACAUAAGAUAAAUGAUGCUAAACUCUAUUUUGACAUCUACAUUAAGCAAAAAUGGUUGAAUUUUGUAUCAUUGUAUG